rnacentral:lncRNA from 10 species
AAAGAUACGGGAUUGCUCAAGUAAUUCCUGUCUCUCUCUUCCUCCAUAAAAGCAGACUAUUGCCGGAAAAUAUAACUCAGUAAAGGCAAUUCUCUGAAAAGUUCUAUCACCCCAAGACUCACCUUUUGAUAGCAUAUUAGUGUCCCUUUGUCCAUCCAGCACUAACUCAGAUGUGGCUUCCCUGACUGGUCCAUGGGGAAUGGCCUCUUGUGUCUACUGCUGCUGCUGACCACUCAGAGACUCUUUCUCUGUACUGGAAUGGGGGUUCACAGCCUUCUUCACCAGCAGAACAGGAGAAGAGUAAAUAACACAAGAGGCCAUUUGGCUACGAGCAGGCUAUUUCAGCCAACAUGAGAAAUAUCUAUAGGGGAGAACUGCAUGUUUUCAUUUACUUGCAAUUGAGCUGAAUUGCUGUGUAUACAUGACAUGUAUAUGUGUGUGUGUCAGAGGUUUCAUUAAAUGUUUCGAAUUUGUUUGUGGGUUUUGCCUCCUUAUGUACUUUCUUCUAUUUGAAGAAGAGAAAUAAGCACCAAAAAAUACAUGCACACACUUCUACUUCAAAACAAUGACUUCAGUGGGACUCUGUAAGGAGAGGUGCCUUGUUUUCACCAGCUCAAACAGAACUAAAGACUUAGUUGCCUCUUACCCUUCAGUACAUAGCUGCCUCUAACUCAACUUUUCCUUACUACUUUCCUUAAACUUGUGGUAGUGGGAGAGUUAGGAUAAGGAGUGCAAAGCCUGUAACAGCCUUAAUGCUCCUCCAAUUCCAUAGGAAGAGAAAAGGAAAAGUUUAUAAUUUGUCUGCUUAUCAUAUGUGAGGCACUUUAUGUAUCUUAAUUUAAUCCUCACAGAUCUAUUAAUGGUAGGUAUGGCCUUUUCCUCCAUUUUAGAGAUGAAAAACACUGAAGUAAAUCACUCAGGAUCCCACAGCCAGUAGCCAUCUGUAUCCAUAGGUCCGCAUCUGCAGUUUCAACUAACAUCUGAGGAAAAAAUAGUCUUUAAGGGACACGAAAUCCGAGGAUGCAGAGUGAAGGAGGCAACUUUCCACAUGCACAGAUUCCAAAGGGCCAACCGCAUGGAUCCAAUCCCCCAUGGAUAUCGAGGGACAGUGGUGAAUGAAUGAAUCUCAAACUCAUUUACAUGGAUGAAUCUCAAAUACAUUCUGCUAAUUCAACUGCUGCUGCUUUUCCAAUGUUCCUGAGCUGACAUUUGCGUUAUUCAGCAGCACGGUACUCCGAAGGGCAAUAGCCUUGAACCCUUUCAGCUCAUGACCAAGCUAUCAGAACACAGAAGUCCAAAAUCACAGUGUGCCAUGCAAAAUCCAAACUACAAUGUACCAAGUUUAUCACGUUUCAUUACUUCAGUAUGUUUAAAACACAAGACUUCUGGAAGAUAUUCGUCUAAGGUAUUUAUUCUGAACAAUAACAAGGAACUAUGCUGAAAAAGAAAUUUCAAUAAAAACUAAAGUAGAACUUCAAAUGGACAGAAGAAUGCACAUUUCCAAACAGCGACUUGCCCAGAGAAUGAAACCCACCAGACUUUUUCCAUCUACAAAGAAGCUGAAUGUAAUGUUCUUUGGGUUUUUAUCAACAGCCAGGUAAAUGGGAAGAAUCUCUCAGAAGCACUUUAUGAAGUUAUACAAAGAACUACUUUUAAAGCAUUUCAUGGUUGGCAGCUUAAGAUAAUAUUUUUUUUAAUUUUUAAGGAAAGGCUUCUUAGUUCUUCUGAUGUGUUGAUAACAUGUGCUGCAGAUCUCAGUAAUUGCAGCAGAUCAAUUUUGAUGACACAGUUGAAAAUAUUACAUCCUAAGAGCAUGGAAAUCCAAAGGAAAAACCCUCCCACUGGGUUAGGCACAUUUUAUCUAAUGCAUUAGGACCUAAUGAAAAUCACACAUCACACAACUCCAUUCACAGGCUCCCUCUUGACUGCCUGGACAGCAGACCCACCUGCCAUGACAAUGUUUUGGUGUCAACUCUGAAGGCAUCUGCCUUUCUCUCAUAGAGGACUUCUCCCUCUCAAAAGUAUUUUCACUUAUGUUAUCUUAGAAGGUAAGGAGAGCUUGAAGUGGUUAAAUCCACACAUAAUUCAGGAACUUUAUUUUCCUUAAAGACUUCCAUCUCUUCCCCAACCUGGUAACAGUUUCCAAAAUGGACAAAGCUGAAUCUCACCUCUUCGGCUUUGUUUUCCCACAUUUGAAAUGAAACAGGCAUGAAACUGGCCAACUUUUCCCGUAAAGGCCAGAGAGUAAAUAUUUUAGGCUUUGCAGGCCAUUCCGAGUCUGUUGAAAUUACUCAGCUCUGCAGUUGUAGCACAAAAACAGCCACAGAGAAGACACAAAUGAAUCAGUGUGGCUGUGUUCCCACAAAAUUUCAUUUAUGGACAUUGAAAUUUAAAUUUCCUGUAAUUUUUAUGUAUCAUGAAAUAUUAUCCAUCUUUUGAUUUUUUCCCCAGCCAUUUAAAAAUGUUAAAACCAUUCUUAGCCUGAGGGUCAUACAAAAACAAGUAUUGGGCCAGACUGAGCCCACAGGCCAGAGUUUGCCCUAAAAGAAAUCUCAAAACAUUUCAUAGUCACAUAUAAACAGGAGCCAGAUCCUUCUACUGGAGUGAACUGUAGAAUCCCACAAGGAGACAAGCUCCCAAUUUGCAAAUAUAAAGAGCAAUAUGCCCAGAAACUCUUUGUCUGUAUGUUUAAAAAUUCACCAUAUGUCAUAAUCUCAUUUCAUGUCUUAUGAAAUUCAGACCUAAUGAAGAAAUCUUGAUUUUUUUAAAAUCUAAUUUAAUAUGUCCUCUCAACAUUAAGAGAUGUUUAAAUAGUAUGUAAAUACUGAUAUUAAAUAUGUAUUUGGUAUUUUAAAUAUAGAUUUAAAUAGUAAAUAUUUUUAAUUGGAAUAUUUAAAAAUGUCAUUUCUAUUCUUAACUGGCUAUAAAAAGCAGUUAAGUAGGAAGAGAGGUGCUAUGAGUAACACCGCUUGACCACGUACCAUACAUCAGGCACUGGAUUCAGCAUUUUCCGUGUGUGAUUCAUUUAAUCCUCACAGCAGCUUUGUGAGGCCACUCAUUGUUAUUCUCAUUUUACAGUGGAGCAAACCGAGACAUGAAGCUAAUACACAGUGGAGCCAGGAUCCCAGACAAUUCAGCUCCAAAGCUGGCAACGUUAACCACCUAGUAAUACUAACAUAUACCAGAGGAAUUAGAUGUCAUUUCUCUUUGACUUUGAAUCAGUAAUCUUUUAGGAUUUCAAUGGCCUCUCAUUUUUUAUGUAUUUUUACUUUACUUUUACUGACACACAAAUGCAUAUUUUUAAGGACUCUGAGUCUUAAAAUUGAUUUGCCAAUUUAGAUAAAAUAUAUAUAAGGAAGCUACCCAACUAUGCACAAAAAAUCUUAACUCUUUAUUCACAUAUAAAUCGAAUGCUCUCCCAGUUCUAUACAUAUGUGAUUCUUACACAGUUUGAAAUGCUUUACAUCUUUCUUUCUAACGUAGUAGAAUAUGUCAAUCUAUACAUAUGUGAUUCUUACACAGUUUGAAAUCUUUCUUUCUAACAUAGUAGAACAUGUCAAUGGUGAUUUUCCUCACUGACCUUCAUGGCAUCCCAUACAGGUAAAGAACUAAGAUAAAAGCAGAGUCAAAUCUUUCUUUCAGUCAUUCACUCACACGUUCAGUCAGAAACACAUGCACUGAAUAUGCUUACCAUGUGCAAGCCAUUGUCUCAGGGGCAGGGAGGUUUACAAAAUGAAUAGUGUCCCUUGAUGGUUAAUUUUACAUGUCAACUUGACGAAGCCACCAUACCCAGAUAUUUGGUCGAACGCCAGUCUAGAUGUCACUGUAAAGGUUAUUUUUUUGGAUGGGAUUAGCUUUUUAAAUCCGUAAAUUAGAGUAAAGCAGAUUACCCUUGAUAAUGUGGGUGGCCAACUGCACCACUACACAGUAUAUUCAGGUAAGAAACUUGCACCUGUACCCCCUAAAUAUAUAAAAAUAAAUGACUAAACAAGAUAAUGUGAAUGAGCCUUGUCCAAUUAGUUGAACUCCUUAGGCAGAAAAGAUUGAGGUCCCCCGAGAAAGAAUUCAGACCGCCUUUAGACUUUAGCUACAUCAGCUUUUCUCUGGGUCUCCAGACUGCUGGUCUGCCCUACAGAUCGCAGACUUGCUAGGCUCCAUCUGAUAUGUCUCUCUCUUUCUCUUCCGAUAGAUAGAUAGAUAGAUAGAUAGAUAGAUAGAUAGAUAGAUAGAUAGAUAGAUAGAUAUCCUAUAGAUAGAUAGAUAGAUCUAUAGGAUGAUAGAUAUAUAUUGAUAGAUGAUAGAUGAUAGAUAAGCUCUAUCUUUUUCUCUAUAUUUCUAUCUCUAUAUUUCUUCCUCUGUCUCUAUAUCUCUGUCUCUAUAUCCACACACACGUCUUAUUGAUUCUGUUUCUCUGAAGAACACUGACUAAUACAAGUCCCCUCAGAACCAUCAGAUAGGGUGUGGGGGUGGUAUUCUUAAAAUUCACCCAGUGUCGAUGAGAUGUGGACAGAGGGCACUCUCUCAGGCUGCUGGUGUGAGUAGAGAUGGUGCAGCCACUGUGAGGAGCAAUCUGUCAAUAUCCAGGUCACUCAUCCUGUGACCUGGCCUCAGAAGAGCAACCCGGAAGGACUACAGAGCCAAACCCACUGGGAAUCUGCUGAGUGGACCAAAAUGAUUGCCAAGUGCAUUUACACAAAGGCGCCACUCGGUGAGACAAUUUCAAAACUAUCUCAAAUCAUUCAAGAAUGAGAGACCUAAGUCACAUUCAUGAUAUGAAAAAAAAAAAAAAAGAAGAAGAAGCCGGUGGGGCCAUGCCUAGUACUUUGGGACUCCAUUGCCUCCUAGGGAGGUGCAGCCACUGCUCCUGCUUACCAGCCACCCCAAAAUGACCUGUUGUCCUCACAGCCAGAGCAAAAAGCCUACGUUCACGACAUAAAGAGAAGAAAGCCCCUAGAACAGUGUCUUCAUAUAAGUGCUUGACAAAUAUUAGCUAUGAUUAAGGACAUAAAACUAUACAUUUCACUGUUUUUAUUUUAAGCAACUUGCUACAUAAAAUGCCUGCCUUCUUUCUAGCACUUCUACCCUGCAUAUGGUGGUGCCAAAUGAACCCUUUUGAUGGAACUAGCCAGUUCUGUUGAAUAGUCCAUUGACUCAGACAUAGCUUGAUUUACUCUUUUUCCACCAAAUUAACAAAUGGUGGAUAUUUGUCAGUCAUUAGGCAGUUGGUAAGAGGACCACUCUCACUCUUA